GACUCAGUUUUCACUCUCCUGCAGGAGGUUGCGGACCAUUGAGGAGGUUUCAAGUUCAAGUGAAAGAUAACUAAGUGACCUGUCCUGGCCAAGAGAAAGGACUGAAAGUUUCCCUCCCCCUCCCCUUUUCUCUACACUUAUCCGUAAAGAAAGGAAGGAAGCAGAAGAGAGAGGAGAGCUGUCCGUGAGAAGCAAUGAGGGAGAGAGAGGGAGAGAGAAGGAAGGAGGGGGGAAGAAGAGAGAAGGACUGAGGAGAGUGGACUGACAUAAACGUGAAAUACGAGAGCGAGAAGAGUAAAGUAGGAGAGGAAACCGUGAGAGAAGAAACGAGGGAUGGCUGAGAUGGAAGUGGGCAAAAUCGGGGAAAAGGAAGCCACCGUACCACAUGAAGACUUGCUGAAGCUGAGACACAGAUACAUCACCUGGGAUCUCGUCUGGUCCUCCUUAGGGACUACAGGUGUUUACUUCUCUCAAAGGACACACAACAUAGGCAAGCCAGCUGGUCAGUGAUCAGAGCUCAGUCCCACCAACAUGCCUGGCACACACGCUAACCUCUCUGAUGUGAUUGACAGCUCUGCCCUAGUAACCGCUUGGCACGUUGCCCGGCUGCCAAGGGUUGCCAGGGAAUGAGUUCCCA